GCCCCGCCCCGCCUCUCCUGGGCCCGCCCCGCCCACCUAGCCUAUUAGCAACGCUCAACUCUCGCGAUCAAAACCGGCAGUUCGAGACGAGGAAGGCCUCCACCUCGCCGCCGGGGCAACUGUACGUAGUAUACUUUGACCCCGUUUGUCCCGGCUGCGCAGUCGCAGCUCGGAACCGCUGCGUUCCCGUACCAUACCCCAACCCCGGAAAUAACGCACCGAUCUUCGGGGUCGAAGCCGGAAGUUGACUAGAGAGUCGGCAGUUACCGUGCGCUCUAGGACCCGGGGCCAUCGAGGCGGCCAUGUUGUGAAACUCAUCUCUCACCAGUCUCCCUUCUCCCUGGUUUAAACACUGGCAUUUUUGUCACUCCUUGAAUGCACUGAGUUUGUUCUCACCUCCAGCUUGUUCUUCUAAAGCCUGAACU